rnacentral:rRNA from 1 species
GACGAACGCUGGCGGCGUGCUUAACACAUGCAAGUCGAACGGAAAGGCCCUGCUUUUGUGGGGUGCUCGAGUGGCGAACGGGUGAGUAACACGUGAGUAACCUGCCCUUGACUUUGGGAUAACUUCAGGAAACUGGGGCUAAUACCGGAUAGGAGCUCCUGCUGCAUGGUGGGGGUUGGAAAGUUUCGGCGGUUGGGGAUGGACUCGCGGCUUAUCAGCUUGUUGGUGGGGUAGUGGCUUACCAAGGCUUUGACGGGUAGCCGGCCUGAGAGGGUGACCGGCGACAUUGGGACUGAGAUACGGCCCAGACUGCUACGGGAGGCAGCAGUGGGGAAUAUUGCACAAUGGGCGGAGGCCUGAUGCAGCAACGCCGCGUGCGGGAUGACGGCCUUCGGGUUGUAAACCGCUUUCGCCUGUGACGAAGCGUGAGUGACGGUAAUGGGUAAAGAAGCACCGGCUAACUACGUG